rnacentral:rRNA from 1 species
AUUGAACGCUGGCGGCAGGCUUAACACAUGCAAGUCGAGCGGAGAUGAGGUGCUUGCACCUUAUCUUAGCGGCGGACGGGUGAGUAAUGCUUAGGAAUCUGCCUAUUAGUGGGGGACAACAUUCCGAAAGGGAUGCUAAUACCGCAUACGCCCUACGGGGGAAAGCAGGGGAUCUUCGGACCUUGCGCUAAUAGAUGAGCCUAAGUCGGAUUAGCUAGUUGGUGGGGUAAAGGCCUACCAAGGCGACGAUCUGUAGCGGGUCUGAGAGUAUGGUCCGCAACACUGGGACUGAGACACGGCCCAGACUCCUGCGGGAGGCAGCAGUGGGGAAUAUUGGACAAUGGGCGGAAGCCUGAGCCAGCCAUGCCGCGUGUGUGAAGAAGGCCUUUUGGUUGUAAAGCACUUUAAGCGAGGAGGAGGCUACCUGGAUUAAUACUCUAGGAUAGUGGACGUUACCCGCAGAAUAAGCACCGGCUAACUCUGUGCCAGCAGCCGCCGUAAAAC